AUUCAGACCUUGACAGUUGUAACUGAUAGACAGGGCUGGGGCAAUGCUGAUGAAAGGCAAAUUCCUGAGAGAAAAAUCACCCAAAUUAGCAUUUCGGUGUGGAUACAGAAGACGAGAUUAACACAGAUCAAGUAACAUGGAAAUAAAAAAGGAGACAAUGCUGGAUGAUACGGGGGCAGCCAACAAGAAGAGAAAACCCAAGCAUUGGCAAACCCCUCAUUAUCCAAAGAACACUGGGCCUCAGAGUAUGUCAGCUGGGGUCAGACGGGAACAGGAGGCUGGCUCAACACACAUUUAUUGCACUCCUGCUUCAUGCCAAGAAAUGCACCAAAAUCUGGAAUUGUGUAACACAGCAAAGGAAAAGACUCAUCUCCAGGAAGCCCCCUUGUCUAGGAAGAGAAAUUGAAUAUCAGCAUAAGGUGGUGAAAAGCUGUGAAGGAGAUGAGUGCCACAAGUCCAUGGAGGAAGGAUUCUAGCCUGGACAGGUGAGGAAUGGCUUUCUGGAAGAAGCAGAUGCCCCAGCUGAACUUUAAAGUGCCCAUGUGAAAUGAACUGUCUGUAUCUUCAAUCAGCAAAUGGAAUAGGUGGCCACUGUUUAAUUCUGGAAUGGGGAAGUGUAAAGGUGUGGUGUGUGUGUUUACCCCUACUUAGGGAUUCAAAACAGACAGUAAAGAACAAAAGUCUAGCCCUUUGAGCAUUCUCCAUGGGACAUUUGAGGUCUAGCUGGCCCCAGAGAAAGGGAGACAGAGGAAAGGUCAUAUCCAUUUGAGAAAAUCAAAGUGUCUGCUCCAAUUGAGUCUGGUGUCCUUAUUCCUGGAAUAGCCAUCCCUACUGCUCUGGUGCUGAUUUACCUCCGGCAGUUCAGUGCUUCCUGGAAGGUAGGCUGGGCUUUUUAACAAAGUGACUCCUUGCUUGACAUGUUUUACCCAUACACAGAGGCCACUGCACUACGUGCAAGAAACAACAAAAAAUUAAAUGAGACUCAAUGCCUUCCUUAGGGAUCUAAAACCCCAGUAACACAGAUAAACAGGUAAACAAAUAAUGGCACGAUGGUGUGAUUCUAUAGCAACAGGAAUAGGGCACUGCAGGGCCACUGAAGGAAAAGGUGAUGACCUGGCUUGGAUUAGUGAUAAAAAGGGGCUUACCUCCUUUCUCUGUUUCUGCUAAUAGCCAGUGACUACUCCAUGCUUUUCCCAUGUCGGGCAUAGCUAUAAGUACUUUGGACAUAGCGGCACAUUUAAUCAUCACACAACAAUAAGAGGAAGCUGAGGCAGACAGAAGUGCCCAAAGUCACAUACUUGAAGCCAGGACUUGAACCUGGGCUAUCUGGCUCCUGAAUCCAUGCCUUUCACUAAUAAUGACUUACCCUCCAAUGGGGAACAAGCUCCAUUCUGGCCUUUCUUUAGCGAAGGCAACUGCCUGAGCUCAUGGUCUGAUCUGGCUUCUGGGAAAGAGAAAGCAGGGGAAACGUCUAGAGAUGGCAUACUGGGAGAAGAAAUUUCUUGCUGCGGAAUCCUGCCCACAUCUCCCACCCCACCAUACACAAUCCCGCGUGCACUUACACCUACAUGCCGUGUACAUACGAACAUUUUUUCCCCUACUCCCAUGGGCCCCAACUCUGCCUUUUCAUCAAAAUCACCGAGAGUUUUAAAUAAAAUGCAGAUACUGAGGCUUGUUCCUAAAUUACAAUCUUGGGCAUCUAAAUUUUUUGAUUAAAAAGAUUGAUAUGCAUGCUUAAAGUAAAAAUUUAGACAGUACAGCAAAGAAUGUGUUUGUACCCCUCCCACCUAGCCGUUAGUUCUUCCCAAAGGCAAACACUUAACCGUUCCUUGUGAUCCUUCCAGAAAACAAUAUAUGCAUAUAUUCAUCUUUUUUUUUCUUCCUCUGUAGGUGAUAGUGGUGAAUAGUCAUGAGAAUCCGGGAACUGGCUCCUGCUCUGUCUAUCUUGGAGAUGCAUCUUUUGUGAGAGGCCAGGGCAAGAAUAGGGAGGCUUAGGCAAUGGGGAGUUUCUGAGUAGAUAAAGCAGAUGGCAGAGCAAAGGGAUAGAGCCUGGAGAGAGGCUACUUCCUGUAGCAACCUGCUUAAGAGUGAGAGGAAAGCAAGGCAUGGCUAUGAGCACGUGUAGUCUCAGCUACUUGGGAAGCUGAGGCUGGGGGAUCACUUGAGCCCAGGAGUUCAAGACCAGCCUAGGCAACAUGGUGAGACCAUGUUUCUUUAAAAAAAAAAAAAGA
rnacentral:lncRNA from 1 species